AAAUUGAAGAGUUUGAUCAUGGCUCAGAUUGAACGCUGGCGGCAGGCCUAACACAUGCAAGUCGAACGGUAACAGGAAGCAGCUUGCUGCUUUGCUGACGAGUGGCGGACGGGUGAGUAAUGUCUGGGAAACUGCCUGAUGGAGGGGGAUAACUACUGGAAACGGUGGCUAAUACCGCAUAACGUCGCAAGACCAAAGAGGGGGACCUUCGGGCCUCUUGCCAUCAGAUGUGCCCAGAUGGGAUUAGCUUGUUGGUGAGGUAACGGCUCACCAAGGCGACGAUCCCUAGCUGGUCUGAGAGGAUGACCAGCCACACUGGAACUGAGACACGGUCCAGACUCCUACGGGAGGCAGCAGUGGGGAAUAUUGCACAAUGGGCGCAAGCCUGAUGCAGCCAUGCCGCGUGUAUGAAG
rnacentral:rRNA from 2 species